GCUCCAGUGGCGCAAUCGGUUAGCGCAUGGUAUUAAUGAUACCAAAGGUGUGAGUUCGAGUCUCACCUGGAGCA